rnacentral:rRNA from 1 species
CUACGGGUGGCACCAGUGGGGGAUAUUGCGCAAUGGGGGCAACCCUGACGCAGCAAUGCCGCGUGAAGGAAGAAGGUCUUCGGAUCGUAAACUUUUGUCUUCAGGGACGAAAUUGACGGUACCUGAGGAGGAAGCCACGGCUAACUACGUGCCAGCAGCCGCGGUAAUACGUAGGUGGCAAGCGUUGUCCGGAUUUACUGGGUGUAAAGGGCGUGUAGGCGGGAUGACAGGUCAGAUGUGAAAUACUCAGGCUUAACCUGGGGGCUGCAUUUGAAACCGUCGUUCUUGAGUGUCGGAGAGGGAAGCGGAAUUCCUAGUGUUGCGGUGAAAUGCGUAGAUAUUAGGAGGAACACCAGUGGCGAAGGCGGCUUUCUGGACGAUAACUGACGCUGAGGCGCGAAAGCGUGGGGAGCAAACAGGAUUAGAUACCCUUGUAGUC